UUAAUUGUUAGAAAUUGUUGUGUGAAUCCCAAUUUGUACUAUGGAAGAGGAGAGAACUAAUUGCAGAAAGUAAGGAUAGUAGGAGAGACAAAGCCUCUAUUAGUGCUCUAAGUGAGGGGGUGCGUUUAACCUGCUCCAUUUAAUUAGGUGGUGUACUGAUACACCAUUAAAUUCUUGUGUGAAAAUACUAGGUUAUCCUUGUCUUCUACCUUCCAACUCUGGUUUUGCAGCUCUCACUCCUUCAUUUUUAUUUCGAUCCAAUGCUCCAAUUACUGUAACUGUUUAUCAAUUGAUUUGCUCUUUCACCAUUUGAGAUCUGAAUUUUCAUAUUCACCACUGAUUUACCAAAUAAAAACUGAGAAAUUUGAGUUUUCUUAUUAUUAUUUUCACAUCAUCCCAAAUCUCAUCUUCUUCUCUUUCACCCAAUCUCAUUCAAUUGACUUCUUGGAAGUUCUCUGAAUGGGUCAACGAACCUGGGAAUUGUUUUGGGGUUCUGUAGGCGUUGUCCUUUGGUAGGCUGAUUGGGUUUCUAUCUAUUUUGUUCUCUUCUUUUACUGGUUCUGCCCAGUUUUCUUGUAUCUGUUUUUUGCUCUUGGGUAUGGUUUAUAGUUUAUACCCCCUUAUAAUAAAGUAUUGCUUAUCCAAAGAAGAAAAAAAAACCAAUCAGCUGCCGCCGCCGUGGAAAAGGGCGGUGGAAGGAAAGACGGCGAUGGAGUUGUGGAAAGCGAAAUCGAUGGGGAGGAAUUAUCACCCACCACUGCUUCAGCUGCUGUCACUUUCGCCACCGCCGCCGCCCUCCCUCCGCAGCACCGCUGAUGAAGUUCUUCAGGCUAUUUUUUCAUUUUAUUAUUAUAGGGUAUGAAUGUAAUUUAAACCAAUGAUCUAUCUUCAAUCUCUACCGUUUAAUUCUUUAAUAUUAUAUCAUGUGGUUACCUUUUGUGGUGUACAGAUACACUACCAAAUUGAAUGGUGCAGGUUAUACGCACCCCUAAGUGAGAUCAUCAUUUUGUAUUCAUCUUGUUCAGUUUGAACCUACAGUCAAAGCUUAAAAAAGCCUUCAUGGAAAAUUGGUUCAUGUUCUGCAUUAAAGAAGGUGCUGAAGAGUUCAUCUAAAGUGCAAAAGAAACCCCAGCUCUCCACUUGGCAGACUUGAAAGAGUCUUGCCUUGAUGAAUUCAGAAAAUGAUCAAAUAGAGGAGGAGCGCGAUCGGCUGGCUAGGAAGCGGCAAGAGUUGGAGGAAGAAACGUUGGCCAAUGUCUAACUCCUUCGACACCCGAGAAAAGGAAAUGUUUGCUGAGAACCAAAAGCUGCAGAACCACUAGUCCAAGUUGUUUGAUACCUUUUCAAGUGACUUAUGAGUUAUGAGAGAUUCAUUCAUGUUUUACAGCUAUUAUACCAAUUGUCUGUUCUUCCUUAUCUAAUUGUUUGCUUAAAAAAGAACCUUUUCUCUUUAUGAUAAGCUUUUGUAGGCAAUGCUUUCAGUCA